UUGGUGGCGACCGGCGCACGGGUGAGUAACGACGUAUGCAACCUACCGUAUCAGGAAGGGGAAGUAACCCGGCGAAAGUCGGACUAAUACCGCAUAAAACAGGGGCACCGGCAUGGUGAUAUUUGUUAAAGAAAUUCGCUGAUAGAUGGGCAUGCGUUCCAUUAGGUAGUUGGUGAGGUAACGGCUCACCAAGCCGACGAUGGAUAGGGGAACUGAGAGGUUGGUCCCCCACACUGGUACUGAGACACGGACCAGACUCCUACGGGAGGCAGCAGUGAGGAAUAUUGGUCAAUGGGCGAGAGCCUGAACCAGCCAAGGUCCGCGUGAAGGAAGAAGGAUCUAUGGUUCGUAAACUUCUUUGCAGGGAAUAAGUGCAGGACGUGUCCUGUUUUGUAUGUACCCUGAGAAUAAGGAUCGGCUAACCCCGUGCCAGCCGCCGC
rnacentral:rRNA from 1 species